rnacentral:misc_RNA from 1 species
GGCUGCUGGACAAGCUUAAAAAAAGAAACCCUAGCAGCCUACCUUUUUAUUAAGCGCCUUGCCUUAUUGGGGUGCGCCUCAGUGAGGUUUUGCGCCUCAGCUGUCCCGAUGCGCUUAGGGCUGCGCCUGGUGCGCCUUGCGCCUGAGGCGCACCUCUUUAAUAACAGUGCAAGGUGCAUAAAAGGUAUGUUCUUUGACUUGAUCUAUAUAUACUAAGUUGGUGGGAUUUAAUUUAUUUGAAUAUUUAAUUUGCUACAUGUUAAUAUUGUGUUAAAAUGGGUACAAAGAUGGAGAGAAAGAUUGAGGAUGGUGAAGAUGUGAAAGAAUGGUCCAGCACAAAUGAAGUUGUAUUUCUAAGAAUAUUGUACGAAAGAGUUAAAAGGAUCCUAAUGGAACACCCAGUUUUAAACAAAAUGAUUGGCAAGAAAAUGAUGAUGAGCUAUAUUAAACAAUAGAAGAGAGAUAUGGUAUAGAUAAGCUAAAGGAAAAAUACAAUCGUCUUCUUGUAAAGCAUCGGCAAUUUUCUGAAUUGUUGGAGCAUACUGGUGUUACUUAUGAUUCAAGCUCAAACAUCUUUUUUGCCACAUAAGAUGUUUGGCAAAUGUUUUGUAAGGUAAUUUUUUAUUUUAAUUAUUUAAAGAAAU